rnacentral:lncRNA from 1 species
UUAUCGACGCCAAUUUUUUUGACGAAAUGUGCUGCUAAUUUGAGGUUGAGCCCCUUGGAUUCACGGAGGGUGAGAUCAUCGUGGUGGAGUGGGCCGAUUGAGAUCACUUUCAGCUUGAAAUACUUCUUGAAAUCUUCGUUACGGAGAAGGGUUGAUGGGACUUUUUGUAUUAAUGGUUUGUAUCUAAGGGUGGGUUGGCCACCAAAAGCUUUGUCUAAUGACUGGAGCUUCGCUACUUCGCCAUCGCUGAGAGGGACGUCGGUGAACCACAUAUCAAUUCCCACGUAAUCGUUGUUGGUGUUGUUGUCGAUGAUUGUUUGAUUAGUGGAAACUGCUCCGGCGGCGCUGCCUCCUUCCUCCAUGGACGACAUUUUCAGGCUGACCGGCUCGAAGUAAUUAACAAGGUGAUUUUGAAAACUUGUUUUGGCUGAUUGAGUGAUGUUGGAAAAAAGGUGGCAAAAUGGCUACGAUGAUAACAAAUCUUCUAUAGCUUACAUAAAGAGGCGAAUAUAGGGGAAUGUAAAAUUGUUAUUUAGGCCCUUAAUAUUUUUUAAAAUUUUAAAUUAGUAAAAGUGAAAUUACAUUUUGGCCUUAUAAAAUUAUAAAAAUUCAAUUUAAUCUUUUAAAAAUUAUAAAGAUAUAGACUACAAAAAAUUAAAAUCUCAUUCGAUCCACCCUAAAAAAUUAUUCGGGCUUCGCCACUGCUUACAUAAUAAACAUAUGGAAAAUACUUUUGGUGUAAUUCAAAUUUACCCCUUAUAGUCAAUUUAAUUUUCAUUUUUUUAAUUUAAUUUUCUAUCUUUUGGAAGAGUUGAAUUUAACUAUCAAUUUAAAUUAAUAUUUUUUAACGAAAAUAGUGACUAAAAUAUUAAAAUAUUAAACAUGACAACUCAAACGGCAAUCCACAUCUAUAUGUUUUUUUUAUUUAUUUCUUAUUUUUAAAUUAUUUAUUGAUGUGACAUAUAAUAAAAGUAUUGUUAUAUUAGCAUGAAGUACACAUGGAAGGCCACACGAGUUGUGACACCAAUAUCGUUAAAAAUUAAUAUUUUAGUUAGCAUAUCUGUUAAAGAAAAGCAAAUGAACUCUUUUUUCAAAGGUUAAUGGCUAAAUUUAGCUCAAAUGAAAAAAAAAAAAGGCCAAUUUGAUAAAAAAGGUAAAUGUCAAGAGUUAAGUUUAACAUUUAUACAAGUACAAAUAUAUGUCUGGAUUAAUCUAGAAAGAACAAGACAAACUCUACAGGUGAUAUACAAAUGUGAUGAGAGUGGAACCUGCACAUCACAAUUGAGAAUAAUAUUAUAGAACCUAAAUACUCAAAAACCUAAAACCUUCCCCUUAACCAAGAAGCUAAGACGCCAUGGAUAAUUUUAUAUCUACAACACUUAUGAAUUUCAUAUGCUUAAUAAUAGUUUACAAAAAGACAAGUAAAGAACACUUACUUCGGUUGAUGUAUGGUAUAAUAAGUCUGCAAAGCACUAAGAGUAAGUGCAGCAAUGGCACCCAAAAAUGCUAAAAACGUCCAAGGACUCCUAAAAUAAGUAUGAUAACCUUGAGCUGCAUGAUUAAUCCACAUAGUCUUACAAUGAUUAUGUAUUUUCUCUUUAACCCCACUGUAAAUUGUCGGACUAGGAACCAAAUCAGUGUUCAUCUUAUUGAAAAGCUUAGCCAUUUCUUCAUCACUGCCCAAUCCAUUGUAUAGUAUGCCGGAGUCUCUAAGGUCUUUAACAUCUUCGGCUUCAUCGAUCAAUAAAUCAAGGAAACACAUAUAUGAAGUGACGGUGAAAUCGUUGUCGAAAUCCGGACACAUUUCGUAAGCUAUUAAGUUCAUGGUUGAAUCAUCGACGGAGAUCGGCGGUAACCGUAAUUUUCCGAAGAAGAAGAUAUGGUUGAAACUGAUGUCGGUUAAAUUACUUGUUUCGCUGGCUUCUAACCAUAUCCCGGCCUUUUUAAGCUCUUUUACGUUACCAAUGGUGCGUGAAUGGUACCGUUUUGUUCUUUUUCUUCUUGCUGCUGCUUUGCCAAAUCCGUGUCGAGUGAAUUCCCAAAGAAAACACCAGCACCGUAUUCGUACUUUUCUGAGAAGGAGUCUUUCUCGUAGUAGAUGCAAUAAGUGAAUUCGCUCUCCUUCUUUUUGCUGCUUCCACCACCAUUCCCUACACCAAAAUCUGUGUUAGUCGGAAGCCAAGCUACAAUUUCUCUUUUCUCUUUUCUUUUUUUCUUUUUUGUUGUUAAUACAAAAAUAUUAAAAAUCAAUCUAUACUUGUUAAUCAAGUUGGUUGAAUAAAAAAUUAAAUAAAAUUGAAGUUAUACCAAUUGAAUUAAAGAAUGGAAUAAAUUUCUUUUUAUAUUUUUAAUAUUUUUAAAAAUUUAUAUAAUUAAACUGAAUUAACUAAUCAAAUGGAAAAGAGAGUCUAAUAGAUUCCAUCACCUAUGUAGUUAUAAAAACCUUUUAACAUUUAUAAACUCCACAAAAAUGAUUCUUUAUUUAAUUCCCUAAAUUACCUGUCCUCGCCUGGGUUGAUAACAGUUUCGUCGAUGAACCUUUGGAUUGCAUUCAUGAACUUUUUGCCAUCCCCCGAGCUUGUAAGCAAUUCAAGAACACGAAAAGGUAAUUGGUUUUCCAACAAGAACAGAUCCGAGUACACAAAUGUCAGCAAAUCGUCUUUAAUAAACAAUUUACCAUCAUCAUCAUCAUCAUCAUCAUCACCGUAACGCCUGUAAACUGCUUGUAAAAUUGCGCAGCCGUCAACGAAGAAAAUCCAAGCCAGUUUCUCGUUAUCGUUGCUAUAGUUCUCUAAUCCCUUUGGAUCAUAGCAUUUCUUUAACUCAUCGAUCUCUGUCUUCAUGUUGUUGUACAAGGUAUCCUUAUCGACGCCAAUUUUUUUGACGAAAAGUGCUGCUAAUUUGAGCUUGAGCUUCUCGGAUUUAUGGAAGGUGGGAUCAUCGUGGUGGAGUGGGCCGAUUGAGAUCACUUUCGGCUUGAAAUACUUACUGAAAUCUUCGUGACGACCAAGGGUUGAUGGGACUCUUUGUAUCAAUGGUUUGGCACGGAGGUCGAUUUCGUCGCCGUCGAAAGCUUCGUCUAAUGACCGGAGAUUCACUACUUCGCCAACGCUGAGAGGGACGUCCAUAUCAAUGCUCACGGAAUCGUUGUUGUCGGUGAUUGUUUGAUCAGUGGGAGCUGCUCCGACGGCGCCGCCUCCUUCCUCCGUGGAGGACAUUUUCAGGCUGAGCGGUUGGAAGUAAUAAACAAGGUGAUUUUGUAAACUGUUUUUGGCAGAGUGAGUGAUGUUGGAGAAAAGGUAGCAAAGUGGAUAAGAUGAUGACAAAUAUUUUGUAGCUUACAUGAUAAACAUAUAUGGGAAAUACUUAAGGCGUUAGUGUUUAUAUUUUUACUAAUAUAAACAAUGAUAAAAAAGAAAAGUUAAAUAGUGACAAAUACUAAAAUUGAGAAUAAUAUUAUGGAACCUAAAUACUCAACACUACUCAAAACCUUCGCCUUUAACCAAGAAACUAAGACCCUAUCUGAGGGAGAAUUUUAUAUCUACAACACUUCCUAAAUUUCAUUAGCUUAAUAAUAGCUAUUCAAAUAUAUUUUUUCAUUUUAUUACUGACUUUAAUAUUUAAAUUAUCAUUAUAUUGCAUGAUUUAUUCCAAAUAUUUACAUAUAGUAAUUGCAUUUGUAAUUCUACCUAACUAUGAAAAAUCUCAAAUUUGCAACAUGUUAUUCACAUGCCAACCAACCAAUAUAUUAUUCCUACCAACCAAUUUAUCAUUCACAUUCCAACUUUCUAAAUCCAUCAAAUAUUUCAUAUUCAUGUACUAACAAAGAUCAUGCCAAGAACCCACAUGCAAAGUCAUUGUAUAGUACCACAUUUAACUCAAUCGGACUUUUACACAACUAAAGAUUACUCCAAACGUUUAUAUGCAUGUCACAAUCCUUCACUCAAAAUGAUAAAAAAAACUAUUAAAUUGACGAUAAAAUAGUUUAAGCUUCGACCGAUUCAACCGACGUGUUCUAGCAUAUAAUAUGUUUAGUAAGCUCAUAUGGAAACUAAAACUUACCUAGAUCAAUUGAACAUAAAAAAUUACUCAAUAAGCUAUCGAAUUAAUUUUUCCCUGACACUUAUAUACAUAUAGUACAUCUAAUAAAAUUUCUGUUAAAGAAAAGCAAUUUGACUCUUUUUCUAAAAAGUUAAUAACUAAAUUUAGCUCAAAUAAAAAAAAAGAAUAAAAGUCAAUUUGAUAAAAAAUAUAAAUAUUAAAAAUUAAAUUUAUCAUUAUAUCUUUUUUAAGUAAUUAUUUGUGGUGAGCCAUCAUGUCUGACGAUGAUUUUUAAAUACUGUAUUAAUUAUAUAUAGCACAUCAUAUUUCACUAUAAUUUCUAUAGACUUUUUAAACAUGGGGUUAAUUGUUUAUGGCCCAUUGCCCAUGUUGCUUUUAUUAAAUUUUGGGUGAACUUCUCAUUUUGGUCAAAAAAAAAUUGUAUUCUCAGUAUAAAACAAAAAACUAAUCUUUAAUGUUUAUGGCCAAACCCCACCUCUCCUAUCCUAUAAUAAUGGUUCUUGGCUUCUUCUAUCCUACACCUCAAUUAUUUGGAUUAGAUUGAAAAACAAUUGACACUUGAUUUGAUUGUGAAAUAAAGUUAAAUUUUAAAUUUAUAAUAUUUAAUUUGAGUGUGAAUGAAUUUUUGACUUAAUUGAAAAUUUAAAAUUUUAAGUUCGAGUCGUAUUUAAUUAUGUGUGUAUAUCGUGUAUAAAUUUUGUUCAAAUUUAUUUUGAUUUAAUUUUCAUACUAUAUAUUCUUAAUUAAAUUCGGAAUAUAUUUUGAUUAUCAAUUUAACCAUACAUUGUAACGAUGGAUUAAAAUUAUAGUUAAUUAUAUAUUGAAACUAAAUAAUUAGUUUAAGGAAUUAAAAGAUAUUAUUAUAUUUUAUAAAAUUUGAAUAGAUUCAUAAUUAAUUCGAGAUUAAAAAAUGGGAGAAGAAAAGCUAAAACCAAACCUUUUUUACGGUUGGAACUAAACCCCAUGCGGUGUGGAAAAUUGCAAGUUUCCAGAAUAUACCUACACUUACUAAUUAUAAUAAAUAUCUUUUACUUAGUAAUAAUAAAUAAUAAAUAUAUAUUUACUAAUUAAAUAUAAAUAUUACAAAUGUACAUAUAUUUUGUUUACAAUUGUACAAUAUCAUCACCAUCCAUUUGGCAAAUUUGAUUUGUUCAUAUAAUGUUAAUUUAUAACUAAUAUAAAUUACCGUAUAAUAAAAUAAUUAUGUACAUUAUAAUUUAAUAAUAAUUAAACAAUAAAAAUCUUAGAUUUUUUAUCAACAUUUGCCGCCUCAUUUAUGGUGAAUGGUAUAUCUCCCAUUUUGGUCCCCCUUUCUUUUUAUUAAUUCUUUUUCCUAAUUUCUCCUAAUUAAGCUAAAUUCACUUAAUUAAAUCCUAAUUAAACACACAACUAGCCUCACAAAUAUUCUUAAUAAAACAUUUACAAACUCGGUUUACUAAGACAGAAGCCCUAUAACUCACUUUUUCGGUGCCCGUGAAUUUUGGGCCAUUACACAUUCUUCCGUGGAUAACAUUUUUAGGCUGAGCGGUUCGAAGUAAUUACCAAGGUGAUUUUGUAAACUGUUUUUGGCUAAGUGAGUGAUGUUGGUGAAAAGGUGGCAAAAUGGCUACAAUGUUUCUAUAGCUUAUAUAUAAUGAACAUACGGAAAAUAUUUUUGUGUAAUAUCAAAUUUAGCCCUUAAUAUUUAUAAUUUUACCAAUUUGAUUCUUAUUCUUUUUAGUUAAAUUUAAUUCUCUACCUUUUGAAAGUGUCAAAUUUUCUUGGCUGGAAGCUCACUGCAUGGAAGCCAAAAUCAAAACAAACUUUUGAUGGUUUAAUUGUUUUUGAGCCCUUCAAUUUCAGGUGCUAUGAGAAAUGGAUUACAACCUCAUCUUGUCGUUAUCCCAAAAUCAAAACAAGCAACUCUUGGUUGAAAGUUGAAACCAAGGGCCAAGUCAAAAUUGUUUUAGGAUGAGUCCAAAAUGAAUAAUGAAUUUGAAGGUUCAAAAUAAAAUUUUAUUAAUAUAUAAAUUUAUAAUUUCAUAAAUUUUAAAAGGAUUAAAUGAUAAAUUUACUAAUUUAAGAAGACAAUAGGGAUGGUCAAAUAUUCUAAUUGAACCUAUCUGCGAUCGGAUCGGGAUGGAUUUUUUUAAUUAAAAAAAUUAAAUAGAUUGAAUCGAAAUUCUAGGAGUUACAAAAUUCUCAUAAAUAACAAGAGUUUACAAAAAGUACACUUACUUUGGUUGAUGUAUGGUAUAAUAAGCCUGCAAAGCACCGAUAAAAAGUGCACCAAUGGCACCCACAAAUGCGAAAAACGUCCAACGAGUCCUAAAAAAAGUACGGUAAACUUGAGCUGGAUAUGUAAUCCACAUAUUGUUAUGAUGAUCAUGUAUUUGCAGUUUAACAUGUCUGUAAAUCAUCAGACUAGGAACCAAAUCCAUGUUCAUCUUCUUGAUAAGCUUAGCCACUUCUUUAUCACUCCCAAAUCCAUGGUAUAGUAUGCCUGCGUCUCUCAGUUCCUUAACAUCUUCGGCUUCAUCGAUCAAUGAAUCAAGGAAACCCAUAUAUGAAGUGACGGUGAAAUUGUUGUAGAAAUCCGGACAAUUUCGUAAGCUAUUAAGUUCAUGGUUGAAUCAUCGACGGUGAGAGGCGGUAACCGUAAUUUUCCGACGAAGAAGUAAUGGUUGAAACUGAUGUCGGUUAAACAACUUGUUUCGCUUGCUUCUAACCAUAUCCCGGCGUUUUUAAGCUCUUUUACGUUACGAAACGGGUGUGAAUGGUGAGGUUUUAUUCUUGUAUGGUUUCUGCGAUUUGUGAAGGAUAUGCAAAACCUAGAAGGCCAUGGUUUUUCUUUUUUGAAAAGGAGUCUUACUCGUAGUAGAUGCAAUAAGUGAAUUGGCUCUUUAUUUUUUUCUUGCAGCUGCUGCCACCAUUCACUAGAGCAAAAUCUGUGUUAGUCGGGAGCAAGCUAAAAUUAAGGUUUUCAAUGGUUGAAUCAAAUCAUUAUUAUUUAAUAAAAAAUUAUUUAAAUUAUUAAAUUACAUUUUAAUCCUUUUAAAAAUUAUUAAAUUAUAAAUUUGUAUACAAUAAAAUUAUAUUUUGACUCCUCAAAAUGAAUAAAAAAUUGUUUAAACACUUUUAAAAAAUGAUGACAUCAUAAAUUAAUGCAAAAAAAAAAUCUAAGAAUUAAACCAAACUUGUCUAUCGGCCUAAUUAAACAGAGAAUCAAGCAAGGUACUAAUCCAGAAUAAUAAAUUAAAUCCAUUGAAUCUAAUCAUCAAAUCGAUUUUUUUUAUAUUUUUAAUAUAUCUUUAAUAUUUUUAAAAUUUUAUAUAAUUGAAUCGAAUAAACUAAUCAACCAAAAAUGAGACUCUAAUGGAUUGUAUCACCUAUAUAUGUAGUUGUAAAAAUCCUUUUAACAUUUAUAAACUCCACAAAUUGAUUCAUUUAUAAAUUCCUUAAAUUACCUGUCCUGCUGAUGUGAUUGUGGGUCUUUAACAGUGCCGUUGAUGAACCUUAUGAUUGCCUCCAUGAAUUUUGUGCCAUCCUUCGAUCUUGUAAGCAAUUCAAGAACACGAAAAGGUAAUUGGUUUUCCAACAAGAACAGAUCCGAGUACACAAAUGUUAGCAAUUCGUUUUUAAUAGAAAAUUCGUUCGACGUACGACAACGAUCUUGGCCGUAAAGCAUAUAAACUGCUUGUAAAAUUGCGCAGCCGUCAACGAAGAACAUCCAAGCCAGUUUCUCGUUAUCGUUGCUAUAGUUCUCUAAUCCCUUUGGAUCAUAGCAUUUCUUUAAGCCAUCGAUCUCUGUCUUCAUGUUGUUGUACAAGGUAUCCUUAUCGACGCCAAUUUUUUUAACGAAAAGUGCUGCUAAUUUGAGCUUGAGCUUCUCGGAUUUAUGGAGGGUGGCAUCAUCGUGGUAGAAUGGGCCGAUUGAGAUCACUUUCGGCUUGAAAUACUUACUGAAAUCUUCGUGACGACCAAGGGUUGAUGGGACUCUUUGUAUCAAUGGUUUGGCACCGAGGUCGAUUUCGUCGCCGUCGAAAGCUUCGUCUAAUGACCGGAGAUUCACUACUUCGCCAACGCUGAGAGGGACGUCCAUAUCAAUGCUCACGGAAUCGUUGUUGUCGGUGAUUGUUUGAUCAGUGGAAACUGCUCCGACGGCGCCGCCUC